CUGACUUCGUCUUCUUCUUCUUCUGCCGGAAAAUUCUCAGACUUU
rnacentral:sRNA from 1 species